AGAGUCUUAGCCACUACAUCGCCAGGGAAGUCCCUGGGGUUGAAUUAUUAAAUUGAAAUGAUCCAUGCCUAUCUUGAAGAACAUCAUCUGCAAGGAAAUAUUUUAUUAAAUGCAAUGAGUGUAUAAACUAUACCUUGAACUUCUCCCCUUUUCAGUUGUGAGGUUAAAAUGCUUUCCAAGUAUAACUUAUUAAUUUUUCAAGUUGUAACUAUCUCUAAGGAAGGAAAUUAACAUCAUUCCAUUUUACAGAUGUGAGAACUGAAGUGUAAGGUGCUCUGGCCAGCAUGAGUCAGUGAGUCAGAGUCAGAAUAGAAUGAUGUGAAAAUGGGGUCAGAGGGAACAGAAAUGAAGCCUAUCAUCUACUUUGAGAGUUUGGAGAAAAGAGGAAACCAUAGAACAUACUCUGAGAUGGGCAGCCUUCCAAACAUCACAAUUACUUCUGUGGAAAAGCAGAGCUAAGACUGAGAGGGUAAAAGUCCAGAAAGUCAAUGGCCGGGCUGGAUUUGAAACUUGUUUUGUGCAUCUGGAGAUAAAGAAGUCAAGGGGCCAAGGAAAGAAUAGAGUUAAUGACCCACAUGGUAGUCAACGAGUGAUACUGGAGCGUGGCUGCUACUAUGAGUACAGAGGCUGAGAAUUGGAGAAUUAACCACUAACAUGGAAGGGUCCUUGGGCUGAGACCUUUCCAUGGUUUAUUUUGUUUUACUAUAAAUCAUUUACUUAAUACACUGUAGUUCUUAGGAUAGUACACUCUGUAUUAAUUUAUGACCAUUAUCAAGUUGAAAGAGAAAACACAAAGUUUGUAUACGAAAGAAA